CUACGGGAGGCAGCAGUGGGGAAUAUUGCACAAUGGGCGCAAGCCUGAUGCAGCCAUGCCGCGUGUAUGAAGAAGGCCUUCGGGUUGUAAAGUACUUUCAGCGGGGAGGAAGGGAGUAAAGUUAAUACCUUUGCUCAUUGACGUUACCCGCAGAAGAAGCACCGGCGAACUCCGUGCCAGCGGCCGCGGUAAUACGGAGGGUGCAAGCGUUAAUCGGAAUUACUGGGCGUAAAGCGCACGCAGGCGGUUUGUUAAGUCAGAUGUGAAAUCCCCGGGCUCAACCUGGGAACUGCAUCUGAUACUGGCAAGCUUGAGUCUCGUAGAGGGGGGUAGAAUUCCAGGUGUAGCGGUGAAAUGCGUAGAGAUCUAGAGGAAUACCGGUGGCGAAGGCGGCCCCCUGGACGAAGACUGACGCUCAGGUGCGAAAGCGUGGGGAGCAAACAGGAUUAGAUACCCGUGUAGUC
rnacentral:rRNA from 1 species